rnacentral:rRNA from 1 species
UUGAACCUACGGGGGGCAGCAGUGGGGAAUAUUGCGCACUGGGCGAAAGCCUGACGCAGCGACGCCGCGUGAGGGAUGAAGGUCUUCGGAUCGUAAACCUCUGUCAGCAGGGAAGAACGGUCACUGUGCUAAUCAGCAGUGAAUUGACGGUACCUGCAAAGGAAGCACCGGCUAACUCCGUGCCAGCAGCCGCGGAAAUACGGAGGGUGCGAGCGUUAAUCGGAAUAACUGGGCGUAAAGCGCUCGUAGGCGGUAUGU